UUGUAUGGCAUUGAAGCUCGUUUGGAGGUUUGUUAACACAGUGUCCAAUGAAGGGCCUCUGAAAUAGUCAAUAUCAAAAUGUUUGGCAAGGAAAGAAAGGAAACCUCCAUCAGUUUUGCCUAAUAAAAUAAAGGUAAACAACCUUGAAUAAUAAUUAUUGCUGAUUGGUGAAAAUGAGGUAUUUUGUUGUUUCCUCUUCAGUUUGGGGUGAGCAGUGGUCACCCUGAGGGCCCCUGCCAGCCAAUUACCAUGCCAUUGUGCCAGGGUAUCUCCUACAACCUGACGACCAUGCCAAACCUGCUGGGACACAAAAAACAGGCGGAGGCAGCCGUUCAAGAUGGCUCAAUUGGAGUCUGUAGUCAAAUUGACUUGUUCUGUGGAUAUCCGCUUCUUUCUGUGUUCUGUUUAUGCUCCCCAGUGUGUGGAAGGGGAGGUGCAGCGCCCUUGCAGAUCCCUUUGUGAGAGAGCCAAACUGGGGUGUGACAGUGUGUUGAAUACGUUUGGGAUGUCCUGGCCUGAUGAUCUGAGCUGUGAAUCCUUUCAGAGGAGUCAUGCGUGAGACAACUCACGGCUGAGAAACUCCUGGUCAGGCUGAAUGAACUUGGUCACUCUGUUCGGGACCAAUGUUAGUUGUGGUUUCUUGAAUUUAAAGCAUUAUAUAUGAUGUAUGUGUGUAUUUCAUUUAUACAUGUAUGUUCUUGUAUACUUCAAUUGUAGCACUAAGUCUUCAAACUGCCCACAUAUUGUUGGCUCUAGAAGAUGUAUCCUUCACCUGUUUCUGUUUUGAGUUCACUUUUAUAUGAGUUUAUUUAUUCAUUUUUCUUCCCCCAAAACCUUUUUUUUUGUCCAGUCACGAGCAAGAGUUCCAUUGACCUGAAAUGCAAUGCAACGCAGUAACCUGUUUUGGACCAAAAAACAACAUUCUGCUUCUUUUUAGUACAUGCCUGUCAAAAAUGGUUGUCAUAGUGCUGUACUAUUUGUGACUGAUGUCCACCUCAAUAUGAUGUCUGUUUGAAUAUUUUUAUGUACAUUCUCUUGCCAUAUUUUUUAUAACACAUGUACACACUUAUUUUUUGGGACUCAGCAUUCUAUUGUGUUUGCAGUCAUACAGUAAGACUAGAGACUUCAUUCUCCAUAUCAUUCUUUUUUCUUCAACUUUUAUCUCAUGUUUCCUUUUCUUUCUUUUGUCUGUAUACUGUCAUUCAGCUUUUAGCUGUGAAUUUGUACAAGACAGCCUAACUAAUAGUAAUAAAACCUUUAUAAAUAUAUGCCCUGGCGGAUAUUCA